AAGCGAUGAGCUGCCGAGGAAGUUUGUUGCAAAUGUUACCACGCAGAGCGCACAUCUCUCGCACCUCUGCAGCCGCUCCGACGAAAGACCGUUCUCGGAAGAUCCUGCGACUCCGGCCGAAGGCAGUCCCAUGUUUCCACGCUGCUUCUGCCCGGCGACGUCUCUCUCUCCAACGCAUCAGCGACCGCCUUCAAGCGGGGCACCUUGGCGACUGACGUUAUCCGCGCCGCGCCUUUCUCUAUGGCCGCGCAGCCACGGACGCCUAGCAGCGAGAGAAAUGCAUUCGGCGAAGCAACUGGCGUAACCCUCCACGAGCAGAGGAUAAUCUAUUCUGCGCACGACCGGCGCAAAGGGCCAACCACAUGCACGCGAUUUUCGAGCGACGGCGACAAGCAGCGGCGAAGAGCGACAGUUUUUGCAGUCGCAAAAUGGCGAACCGUCGCUGUCACUUGACGAGUCGCCGGUUUUUUUGGCCAACCAGAAAAGUUCGCUUUUCGCCCGGGAGUACAAGCGGCAACUUCCGCCGGGAACAGCGUGAUUGUGCAACAAUAUGACAGCAACCAGUGGGUCCUGGUCCGCACGCUUCGAUCCGAAUUCGCUCUCGCAACCUGCUCUUUGCCGUGACAGCAAAAAAUAAAUAGUAAAAUUAGCCAUC